ACAUCGGAAGGAGGUGGUCCACGACAUGACGUUCUCCUGGACGCGUGAGGUGGCUGUCCGCUAGUCGCCCGAGCACAUCGGACGGAGCUGCUCCGAUCCGCAUCGCUGCUCAGCCGGACCGGUUCCGGCGGGCGACGGGCGAAUCCCCGCAGCCACCGCAGCCCGUGGGAGCCGCGAGCUCGUCCUCCGCGGCAGGGUCUCCGCCAGGAGCCCCGGCCCACGGGCUGUUCCGC
rnacentral:sRNA from 1 species